GAUGAAGAACGCAGCGAAAUGCGAUACUUGGUGUGAAUUGCAGAAUCCCGUGAACCAUCGAGUCUUUGAACGCAAGUUGCGCCCGAAGCCAUCAGGUUGAGGGCACGUCUGCCUGGGCGUCACAUAUCGUUGCCCAAUGCCUAUUGCAGUGCAAUAGGAAUUUCUAGGCGAAUGAUGGCUUCCCGUGAUCGUUGUUGCCUCGCGGUUGGUUGAAAAUCGAGUCCUUGGUAGGGUGUGCCAUGGUAGAUGGUGGUCGAGUUAGAACGAUACCGAUCAUGUGCAUGCUCCCCAAAAUAUGGCCUCUAUGACCCACACGCGUCUUUUGACGCUCAUGACGAGACCUCAGGUCAGGCGGGGCUACCCGCUGAAUUUAAGCAUAUCAAUAAGCGGAGGA
rnacentral:misc_RNA from 1 species